ACUUCCGGGUAAUCAUGGCUGCAAUCAAGAUGCCACACGCUUCCUCUCCCCGGCACCAAAUGAAAUAGACUACAUCAAAGGAGCAUAAAAAUCACCUUUGGAGGAACAGAAGGACUCCCCAGUACUCCCCAGUACCCCACAGAGGUGAAGAUGUCAGAAAGCAAGGCCACUGUUAAAAGACAAGGACUUCUAUUAAAACCAGAACACAAAGGAACCAGGUUAUAUUAACAUCUGACUUUGGGGAAGGAGAGACAGACACUUGCCUUGGACUAAGUCUCCAGCAGCUCAGUCCUGUCCACAGAGAAAAAGGUCCCAUUAGGAAUAAUAUGAGAGGACGCCUGCUUCGGCUGACCCCUUGUGUAAAAGAGACCCAGGAGCUGCACAGAAAACCCCACGUAACAAGUAUAAUAUAGAAAAAACUUCCAUUUGUGAAGUAUGUCAUAAAAGAAAUUCUUUUCACACACAUUAUUUCACUUAAGCCUCAAAACAACCCUGCCAAGUAGAGCAGGGCAAAGAUUAUUAUCCCCAUUUUACUAAAGAAGAAAUACUGAACCAGAGUGGUUUAGCUAUUUGUUGAAGGUCAAAUAGCUUGUUGGUGACUUGAAUGGAGAAUAAAAUCCAGG